CGACCGGCGCACGGGUGCGUAACGCGUAUGCAACCUACCUUUAACAGGGGGAGUAACACUGAGAAAUUGGUACUAAUACCCCAUAAUAUCAUAGAAGGCAUCUUUUAUGGUUGAAAAUUCCGAUGGUUAGAGAUGGGCAUGCGUUAUAUUAGCUAGUUGGUGGGGUAACGGCUCACCAAGGCGACGAUACAUAGGGGGACUGAGAGGUUAACCCCCCACACUGGUACUGAGACACGGACCAG
rnacentral:rRNA from 1 species